AUGAAAGCCAAUUGGGAUCCGGUUGCUGCUCAAAUAUUUUGUGAGCUAUGUGCUGAUGAGGUUGGGAAAGGAAACAGACCUAUGGUCUAUAUGAAUGACACUGGGUACAAGAAUGUGCAAGCGGGGUUCUUAGAAAAAACUGGAAGACCCUACAUAAGAAAACAAUUCAAAAAUAGAUGGGAUGCAAUGAAAAGUCUGUACCUAGCAUGGAAGUAUUUCAAAGAAACCAUAGCGGGAAACAAUGUGUGUGCUGGUUUCCGCAAGGGACCUCCGCCAUAUCUGAAAGAGCUUGAGAAGAUGUUUGUUAAUGCACAUGUUGAUGGUACGAGUUCUUUUAUGUCGGGCGUUGAUGGAGAAGGAGAGGAAGUUGAGGAAGUAGAGGAAGAAGAAGAAGUUGAGGAAGUUGAGGAGGCACUUGGUACCCCAGUGAUGAAGGUGCGUGGGGCUGGAAAGCGUGGUGGCCCUAGCCCAAAGAUAAAGAAGUCUAAUAUGCAAAAAGACUUCAAGCACAUGGUUGAUCAUUACACUAGCGGAAAAUCAAUGGUUGCAUCUGCUACUGUUGACACACAAUCUGAAAUUGAAGCCAUCAUGGUCAAAGUCGUCGAGUGUGGUGCAAACGAAGGAAGUGAAGAGCACUACAUGGCAACUAAAUUGUUUGGUAAAUCUGAAAAUCGUGUCUUCUUCAAUACCAUGAAGACACGCGAGGGCCGUUUCAUAUGGCUAACGAGGAUGUAUCAAGAUAGAAAGAGGAACUAG
rnacentral:rRNA from 1 species